rnacentral:rRNA from 1 species
AUUUAUAAGUUAAAGAAAUGAACAAAAAUCUAAGACAUGCACACAUCGCCCGUCACUCUAUCCUAAAGGAUAGAUAAGUCGUAACAAAGUAGGUGUAAUGGAAAUUGCACCUGUCGAAGUAUAGCAUAUAUAAUGCUUUUUACUUACACUAAAAAUAAAGUUAAAUAACUUGCUUCGCACAUAUAAAUAAGCCCUAUAAAUAAAAAACAAUAAAAACAGUUAAAUAAUUAACAACACAAAGUACAGAAAUGGAAAAAAUAAUAAAUAAAAGUAAAUCUUAAUAAAUGUACCUUGUGCAUUAUGGUUUUACAAGAAAACAAUCAAAAUAGUAAUCCCGAAUUCUAAGUGAGAUGUUAAACUGCUGUUAUGAACCCAUUAAUAGCUGUAUAAAAAGCUUUAAAAGACAGUUUAACAGAGGCUACAUACCAUCCGCACAAGAAUAUAGCUGGUUUUUAACAAACAUUAUUUAUUAAAACAUAUAACGUUGUUAUAGUGUAAUAUUAUUGAGGAUAAGCCCAAUAACCUAAGCAAUACUAAGUAAUGAUUCUAUUAAAUUUAAUAGGCCUAAAAACAGCCAAUUAAAAUACUUUAUAGUAAUAAGAAAAGAAAAAAUCAGUACCAAAUACAUGCUAAAAUAAGUUAAAACACUGGAUAAACCACUACAUCCACCUAUACUAUGUAAAAAUAAGUAUUAAAAAAUAUAUCACAACCUAACUAGUAACACCAAAUACAAAAACAACCAUAAUUAAUUAAGGAACUCGGCAAACCAUUAUUUCGACUGUUUAAC